rnacentral:rRNA from 1 species
AACGAACGCUGGCGGCAUGCCUAACACAUGCAAGUCGAACGAGACCUUCGGGUCUAGUGGCGCACGGGUGCGUAACGCGUGGGAACCUGCCCUUAGGUUCGGAAUAACUCCCCGAAAGGGGUGCUAAUACCGGAUAAUGUCUUCGGACCAAAGAUUUAUCGCCGUUGGAUGGGCCCGCGUUGGAUUAGCUAGUUGGUAGGGUAAAAGCCUACCAAGGCGACGAUCCAUAGCUGGUCUGAGAGGAUGAUCAGCCACACUGGGACUGAGACACGGCCCAGACUACUACGGGAGGCAGCAGUGGGGAAUAUUGGACAAUGGGCGAAAGCCUGAUCCAGCAAUGCCGCGUGAGUGAUGAAGGCCUUAGGGUUGUAAAGCUCUUUUACCCGGGAUGAUAAUGACAGUACCGGGAGAAUAAGCUCCGGCUAACUCCGUG